rnacentral:sRNA from 1 species
UACACGGCAAACAAAUCAACUAUUCAACGCCCGCAGGGCAUAAACAUUAACCAUUAAUUUACGUCAGACUUUCAGCCCUCCCAUGACCUGGCAACCAUUUUCCCCAACGCUUCGCAUUGGGCUGAAUUAUUACGCCCUUUCAGGGCCGUUUUCCAAAUGUUAAUUGUCAAUGGUUAAAGG